CCUACGGGCGGCAGCAGUGAGGAAUAUUGGUCAAUGGCCGGAAGGCUGAACCAGCCAAGCCGCGUGAGGGAGGAAGGCGCAGAGCGUCGCAGACCUCUUUUGCCGGGGGACAAAAGGCCGGACUCGUCCGGGCCUGAGGGUACCCGGAGAAAAAGCAUCGGCUAACUCCGUGCCAGCAGCCGCGGUAAUACGGAGGGUGCGAGGGUUAAUCGGAGUUAUUGGGUUUAAAGGGUGGGUAGGCGGGUCUGUAAGGCAGUCGGUAAAGCCCGGGGCCCAACCCCGGCCAGGCCGUUGAAAUGGGCAGUCUCGAGUAGGAGAGAAGUAUGCGGAAUGCGCGGUGUAGCGGUGAAAUGCAUAGAUAUCGCGAAGAACUCCGAUUGCGAAGGCAGCAUGCCGGCUCCACACUGACGCUGAGGCACGAAAGCGUGGGUAUCGAACAGGAUUAGAUACCCUGGUAGUC
rnacentral:rRNA from 1 species